rnacentral:rRNA from 1 species
GACAGAGGGUGCAAGCGUUGUUCGGAAUUAUUGGGCGUAAAGCGCGCGUAGGCGGUUUGUUAAGUCGGGUGUGAAAGCCCGGGGCUCAACCCCGGAAGUGCACUCGAAACUGGCUAACUAGAGUCCCGGAGAGGGUGGUGGAAUUCCUGGUGUAGAGGUGAAAUUCGUAGAUAUCAGGAGGAACAUCCGUGGCGAAGGCGACCACCUGGACGGUGACUGACGCUGAGGCGCGAAAGCGUGGGGAGCAAACAGG